CUCUGACGUGUGGUUGACAGGUAGUAGGGCAUCACCAUGGUUUAACACCCUCUCUGACGUGUGGUUGACAGGUAGUAGGGCAUCACCAUGGUUUAACACCCUCUCUGACGUGUGGUUGACAGGUAGUAGGGCAUCACCAUGGUUUAACACCCUCUCUGACGUGUGGUUGACAGGUAGUAGGGCAUCACCAUGGUUUAACACCCUCUCUGACGUGUGGUUGACAGGUAGUAGGGCAUCACCAUGGUUUAACACCCUCUCUGACGUGUGGUUGACAGGUAGUAGGGCAUCACCAUGGUUUAACACCCUCUCUGACGUGUGGUUGACAGGUAGUAGGGCAUCACCAUGGUUUAACACCCUCUCUGACGUGUGGUUGACAGGUAGUAGGGCAUCACCAUGGUUUAACACCCUCUCUGACGUGUGGUUGACAGGUAGUAGGGCAUCACCAUGGUUUAACACCCUCUCUGACGUGUGGUUGACAGGUAGUAGGGCAUCACCAUGGUUUAACACCCUCUCUGACGUGUGGUUGACAGGUAGUAGGGCAUCACCAUGGUUUAACACCCUCUCUGACGUGUGGUU